GACGAACGCUGGCGGCGUGCUUAACACAUGCAAGUCGAACGGUAAGGCCCUUCGGGGUACGACGAGUGGCGAACGGGUGGAGUAACACGUGGGUGAUCUGCCCUGCACUUCGGGAGUAAGCUUGGGAAACUGGGUCUAAUACCGGAUAGGACCACGGUCUGCAUGGAUUGUGGUGGAAAGCUUUUGCGGUGUGGGAUGGGCCCGCGGCCUAUCAGCUUGUUGGUGGGGUGAUGGCCUACCAAGGGCGACGACGGGUAGCCGGCCUGAGAGGGUGUCCGGCCACACUGGGACUGAGAUACGGCCCAGACUCCUACGGGAGGCAGCAGUGGGGAUAUUGCACAAUGGGCGCAAGCCUGAUGCAGCGACGCCGCGUGGGGGGAGUGACGGCUCGGUGUAACUACUUUCUA
rnacentral:rRNA from 1 species